ACUCUCCCCACAGAUGGCGCCAAAUGUUUUGGGUGUUUUUAGUCCCUCGGGAGAGUUACAAUACGGAGUAUGCGCGCCUGACUUCUGUCCCUGCAAUACCACGAAACUCCGAUUGGGUGGAGUUCCGCCUCCUACGAUCAAGUUAGUAUGAUUUACGGAUGGGUAAUAAUGCGGAAGGUAAAUAGGUUUUUCUCACUGAUUCAGAGAGAUUCCGCAAUUAAUAUUGCUCGGGUUUCGUGUAUGAAUUUCUGAAUCCCCAAUAAAUGAGAAGGAUUCCCCUAUUUAUAGUGGGGGAGACAUGUUCCUUGAUUAGGGUUUUAAUGCCACGUGACAGCAUCCGAUUGGAUCCCGUUGGGCCUUUGGUGGACUGCCACGUGUCACGAUUCUACUGGGCCACGUGGCAUAGGGUAUUUUUACCCUAAACAUGUGGUAUUACGUUGUGUUUUUGAUUUAUUUUUUUGAAUCUGCGUUUUUUUGCUCAAUUUUUUCCUCAAUUUCAAGUAACGUUUUUGCUAACCUUGGCUGUGCAGAAUUUGUAGAUUGUGUAUUGUGGGUUCUUUGAUUUUGGAACUUGACUCGUUAUUUUGGGUUCACUGUUUCUUUUUCUUUUUUUUUUUAAUUCAAUAACUUUGCUAUGAAUCGGAGUUUGUUUUGAUAAAUAAUUAGUUUAAUUCAUUAUAAUUGGCCUAUGAACUAGUUGAGUUUCACUAUAUUCAUACUGAUUAAAAUUUGUAUGCAUUAGUCACUUUUUUCAAGCAUUGGAUUUGAGUGUCAAUUUUUGUUUACUUCAAUGUGUUUAUGAUAGAUAUUUUGUAGGGCUUCAAUUUGAGAACAAUUGUGAAGUGGGUGUGUUCUCUAAGUUGACUAAUGCAUAUUGUUUGGUCACAAUCGGUGGGUCUGAGAACUUUUACAGUACAUUUGAAUCCGAGUUAGCGGAUAAUAUUCCCGUCGUAAAGACCUCAUGGUAGGAAACAAAAACGGGCUUCUUGUGCCUCACUUGACUACUAACCAGGGGUUGGAUCUUCUUUUUAAGUUUCUUAGGCAUCACCCCUUUGGCCGAGCGUUUGGGUUAUGCAACAGAGCAGCUGGCUUUUUAUAUAGGCCCUACAG